UACGUAGGUGGCAAGCGUUGUCCGGAUUUACUGGGCGUAAAGGGCGUGCAGGCGGUUUGUUAAGUGCAGAGUGAAAGCUCCCGGCUCAACUGGGAGAGGUCUUUGCAUACUGGCAAACUCGAGGGAGGCAGAGGAAAGUGGAAUUCCCGGUGUAGCGGUGAUAUGCGUAGAUAUCGGGAGGAACACCUGUGGCGAAGGCGGCUUUCUGGGCCUUACCUGACGCUGAGACGCGAAAGCGUGGGGAGCGAACCGG
rnacentral:rRNA from 1 species